CGAUUCACUCAAUACAAAUCAAUACACUCAAAACACUCCUGACGAAAAUCAAUUUGCUGCAAAUCUUUCGAUUGCUCAAAUCUCUCGACGAAAUCUCUCGAUUCAUUGGUUUUUUGGUCUGCUGCAAAUACUAAUAUUCAUUGGUUCUACAUCAAUUCACUGCUCAAAUAAUGGAUUGAGACAUCCCUGGGGGAUUAUUCAGUUGUUGGGUUGUAUUAAUUUGUUGGGUUUGCUGCAAAACUAGGGUUCAUAAAAACAGCGGUUUCUUAAAUUUCUGAUAAUGCAGGUUUUGCAGGACAUGUCUGGACAGAGCCUUCAAGUGCUAAAAGGUUCUACUUGAGCAAACUAGCCAUCUUUUCUAUGGCUGCACUAGUAUUUAUGAUGGCUUGAAUAUGUAAUGUCUCCGGUUUACAAGGGAAUAGUAUAAGCUAUGAUCUAUUUAUAAAAGGCAUAAUGUAUUGAUUUAAUGCUUUUAUUUGGAGCAUAAUAAAUAACUGUAAUAUUGCUUCUCAUAUUUGUGAACUAAUUAAUAUUACUUACCACUAUCUAUUACCGGAGUAUCUAUACUUGCAUACUCCUUUUACUUCUGUUCUCCGCAUAAGGAUGCUUAAAAGCAGCACCCUGUAAAAUUCUAGCGCAACUGAAAGAAUCUUAAAGAUACACCUGAAAAAAACCAGAAACAACUACACACCAAUUAGUCUUGCCGGAGUGGUAGAUUGGAUUUAAGAAAAUGUUCGGGUGGACUAGAAUAUCCAGUCUCAUGUACUGGAAGUUAGAGGAGAGUCAA